rnacentral:misc_RNA from 1 species
AGUUUGUGUUACAGAAAAGAACAUGUCCGACCACGGGCUACUCGCGUCCAGUCAUUCCGAAUGCAAUUCUCGGAGCUCCUCGGGAUCCGACCUCAGUCGGGAAUCAGAAGGAGACGUCAAACGUGAGCAUGUGUCAAGCUGGUCCCUGGAGGAUUUGUGGACAAAGCGCAUAUUUUACAACGAACGGGAAAGUACGUUAAAAGAACUGACUGAUCUUGUCGUACAGAACAGUAUCAGUAAUGGAAACAGACACAAGUUUGUCUGUACGCCCGUCGAGGACACGCCUGAGAUCAUGAAGCAAUUGGUGAAGCACACACAGAACGCCCUACAGUUUACGUUCAAUGAGUCCGGACAAGUCGGCGACGGGGUCCUUAACGUUGAGAAUUACGAGGAAGCCAUCAGGGCGAUGGCUGAGUUUGACGCGUACGAGUUAAAACUGAACACCGAGAUCGAGAAAAUUGGUCUCUGUCACAACAGAUCGAUGUUGGUAUUGUCUUGGUGCUUCAAAAUCAGAGAAUUUCUCAGACUGUACCGGGAGAUCGCACACUGUAAACUGAGCAAGGUCGUUUCAAAAACACAGUACACAGAAUUACUGAGAUCCUUCACAAGAAUUGUCCAUCUCGAUCCAAGAGUUGGUUCAGCGAGAGACAUGCAGAUGAAUAUGAUACACGUGACCAGUACUCCUGAUCUCCAUUACGUGAAGAACAUGCCAGCUACCCGUCUCCAAGUCAUCAGAACAACUCUCCUGGCCUCUGUUGAAGCUAGAAGACAGACCCCGGGACCGGACUUUCUCGAGAUGGAGGACGCGGUUCUGGCUCAGCACGCAGGCGAGCUUCUGUUGGAGGUCCAGGAGUCGCUGCUCUUCCCGCGGGUGCUUGGGAUGAUAUGUUGGCAGUCCUCGAGAUAUAUAUUCAUUGCUAGGUGAUGCUUACAUAUCUGAACAUCAGCAGAAAACAUCUAGAGGAGAUCAUUAAGGGAGAUGAGGCUACUCUCCGAAAAGAGAGGAGUGUGGUUUACUACACAAGGACAUUUGACUACCUGGUGAAGGAAGAGCGAGACGAACUCCUGGAGACGCUGUUCUGGCUGGGGUACAUCCAGACCAUGGCCAAAUGACGCGAGAUCUCGCCCCCAUACAUGCACGGUUACUGCCCCUUACAUCGCUUAUUAUGCUUUUUGUGAUGAAGGACAUUUUAAAAAACGUGUCUGUGUUUAACAAUUACCUGCAUUAAUUGAUAUACUGCAAAGACACUGAAACAUGUUUUUGAUUGAUGUGGUUUAUGCAUAUAUUUGCUCAGCGUGAAAUUAUAGGAAGUAAAGUGAUACAUACAUGUACAUGUAUAUUUGAGUCGAAAGUGAUUGAAAUAUAUGCCUCAUAAUUAACGAUUGGGAUUAAUAGUAAAUUAAAUACGUACGCGGGUUUGAAUGAAUUUAUUGCAAGACCUAUUAACCAUUCACAUUUGACUGGGAGCAGGGGUGAUCAAAAUAAGAAGGAAUUCUCGUGCAAUUUAUAAUACAAGGCCGUACCAACAUGAUGUAUUAUCACGUGUCGGUGACAUGGUAAACAUAUUGUUCUCAUAUACAUAAAAUUAGUUGUGUUUGUGAUAUUUUUCAUCAUUUUAUCAUGUCAUGUUGAUGCCUAUUGUAAUUCUGUCCUGAAACUGUAUGUAUAAUUUGUUUUUUGUAAAAAAUGAAAACAGAAUAAAAACUUAUGCAUCAUU